UCCUGGUUCUUGGCAUUACAAGGGGGCUGCUCUCCAGGGACACAAGACUUUGGAGUCACAAUCACUGAGUGGCUACACAUAUGGCUUUCAUUGCAGGCCGACCGGGACCAGAAUUAGGUCUCUGAAGAAAUUGGAGAGGUCACUUCCUGUGGGGAGCUGCAAUUUCCACAUCAGCUGUAAGCACAGAUGACCCAAGGAGCAGGAGCUCUUCAGCGAUUUGAAAAACCACAACCACAUCUUCACUGAUGCUGCGCGGGGGCCGUGCAGUUCAGAAGUUAAUACGCUGUUUUCGAUCACCGUUACUGGCAGCAGGCAAAUCAAACAAAGAGCUGCAAAUGCUGGAGACCUGGAAGAAGCCAGGGGAGAAAUAUGAAGCAAAAUCCAGAGCAAAAGACACAAAAUGCUUGAGGAACUCUGCAAAUGAAGCAGCAUGUAUGGGGAUCUGUAAUUAGGUCCCCAGUUCGAAAGACUCUUGACCGUACAAUCUUAAACACAAGUCCAGAACAACCCACUCAAAAUGCUGGAGGAACUCAAUAGAUCAGGUAGCAUCUAUGGACAUGAAGAACAUCCAAUGCUUUGGGCUGAGACCUUUUAUCAAGACCGGAAAGGAGGAGCGAGGAAAUGUGAAAUAGAAUCCAAAAACUCCGGGGCAGAAUAUACGGAGAAAGAGAUUGUCAGGACGUCACACAUAAAAUGCUGGAGAAGCUCAGCAGUUCAAGCAGCAUCUAUGGAGAAGAAUCCUGAAGAUGUGUCUUGUCCCAAAAUAUUGACUGUUUUAUCCUCUACGUAGAUAAAGGCCUGAUUUACUACAUUCCUCCAGCAUUUUAUGUAUGUUGCUCAGGAUUUCCAUCAUCUGCUGAAUUGCUUUUGUUUAAGAUUGUGAGGUCAAUGGUCUAAUGUACUUGGGGACCAUUUAAUUAUUUUAUAACUGUGAGUUAUGAGUCUGGUGGCAUCUGCUUUCAGUCUUCUGUUUCUUCCGCUCAGUGGAAGAGGGAAAAAGAGAGAGUGCCCAAGCUGGGUGUAGUCUUCGAAUAUACUGGGUGCUUUUCGGAGGGGUAGGCCGAGUUCAUGGAGGGGAGGCUAGUUACUGUGACAUGCUGAGCUGUGCCCACAACUCUCUGCAAUUUCAGAGUUUCAGAAUCAGA